UUACUGAAAACGAUGUCACGAUUUGGCACCACACAACCGGCAGGGAGGGCUCACAUGGCUCGACGGCACUGACAACAGGCGGGUGCGGCUGGAAGAGGACGUGUUCCUGUUGCUCGACAUUGUCCGGGGUGGACAGGCUUGGCGGUCUCGUCAUCGACUACUGGUCCGGAGCUGCUGCCGGCUUCUUCCCUUAGUUGGUGUUGCCAAAAACGUGAUUGUUCAAGUGACUGCACUUAGAGUCUUAGAGACUGAUGCUCCAACUCGACCUGCUGCUGCUGCCAGUGAGGGCUCUGACGGUGCUGCUGCUGGCCGUGGCUUUCCACGCCUCGCGCAUGGUGGUAGGCUCGGCUGGCACCCCCGGCCUCGACUACCUAGGGCCUCGCUACACCGCCCUCCGGGAAAUGUGAGAAAGCAAAACUGCUGUGUUGCCCACUGUUGUUGAUGUCAGCCGCUGGCCAACGUCGGCACCCUGCCCAGCCUGGCCCUAUGUCCAGAGGCUAAGAGAAUGGAACAAGAGAAGCGGGAGAAGCUCGCACGCAAUGUAUGCAAACAUACAAUUUCUUGAGCCACUGAAGUGUGCAAUGGGCUGUUGAUGUUUUAUUUCCGGUCCCAUCACAGGAGAGCAAGCUCUGCAGCGAGCAACAUGAAGGCUGGAUGUAGCUGCCCGACAACAUCCACAUCCAGUGGCGUGUCAACCGACAAGAGCAUGAACAAAUUAGGCCCACAGAAGGAGUGGAUGGUUUGGACAAAUCGAUGGAGAAGUUCGAGGAGUAGCAUGCCCGCCGAUCCAGCAGCUUGUUCGACAAGACCGUCACCACCGUCAUCAUCCAGGCCAUGUUGCUGUUCCGAUUGCUUAUGUACCAUGAGAACCAAAAAUCGAAAUCUGGGAAAGGCUGCACUAGUUGGAAGUUGGAGGACCCAGUGACAAGUGAGACAGACAAUAUGCCUUGUGCUUAGCACAAGCAUGUGUGUGCGAAGCCGAUAAGAUGUGCUCUUUGUGAAGUUGUUUGGUAAUGAACAUGCUAGUGGUUUCAUCUUUGUUAUCUGCAUGUGACGUGGCUUGGCGGUUGCCCGGUCCAGGGCCAAGAUGCUAUGUUGUGUGGCUUGCCUCGCCUGGAUCCGGCUGCUUGGGUCCGUCAUGGCCGUGGGCUAUGUAGUAAAUCUGUUUGAGCUGUAGUUGAGAUCAGAAGUUGCAAACUUUUCUGUUGUGCAUGAAGUUGCAUUUAAUUGGUCUCGCAAGUCUGAUUUGAAUUGUAUAUUUGAACGUCACGAGAGCUGCGCGUGAAUAUAAAAGCAAACUGUAAUGUAAUUGUCCUAAAUAUUGGUGAAGGUCAUGUCAAAC